UACGGAGGGUGCGAGCGUUAAUCGGAAUUACUGGGCGUAAAGCGCGCGUAGGCGGUUCGUUAAGUCGGAUGUGAAAUCCCUGGGCUCAACCUGGGAGCUGCAUUCGAUACUGGCGAACUUGAGUAUGGUAGAGGGUGGUGGAAUUUCCUGUGUAGCAGUGAAAUGCGUAGAUAUAGGAAGGAACACCAGUGGCGAAGGCGACCACCUGGACUGAUACUGACACUGAGGUGCG
rnacentral:rRNA from 1 species